ACGACUAUAUUACGUUCAAACACCGGUUCCCUCUCGUACGUUCACCGAAUUUAAGCAAAGUCAAGCCUGGUCACUACCUAGAUGGGUGACCGCUUGGGAAUACCACGUGCUGCAAG